ensembl:lncRNA
GCCAGGGUUAUUUUGGAUUGGAAGACACAUUGCAAUAAUCUGUGUUUAGUUUAACUGCUACUGCUAAGUCGCUUCAGUCGUGUCGGACUCUGCGCGACCCCAUAGACGGCAGCCCACCAGACUCCCCCGUCCCUGGGAUUCUCCAGCCAAGAACACUGGAGUGGGUUGCCAUUUCCUUCUCCAAUGCAUGAAAGUGAAAAGUGAAAGUGAAGUUGCUCAGUCGUGUCCGACUCUUCGCGACCCCAUGGACUGCAGCCCACCAGGCUUCUCCAUCCAUGGGAUUUUCCAGGCAAGAGUACUGGAGUGGGGUGCCAUUGCCUUCUCCGAAUACAUACUCUGUUCACAAUAUUUUAUGCACCCAGUUGCAUUGUGAUGUUUUAGUCAGCAGGUGGCGAUGUUGCGUCACAAGGGACAUCCAACGUUCUUUGCUGAUGAGGUAAAUGGUGAUUUUAUUUCCGUAUCAAUAGCUCUAUUUUAAAAUAAGACAAUGGGCUACGGUCUGAUAGCUGGAAUCCUGUCUCUUCACAGGAACAAAGCAACACAGGUAUUUCAAGCAGUUCUUUGGGGGCGGUGUUCAGACAUUAGGAGCCGCCGGCGGUGAGAAAUGGGACCUGCAUUCUCAGCCUCAGAUCCUCCGAGGGCGACUUCCUGCCUCCUGAAAGCAGGUGCUAGACACAGCGUUCUGAAUCAGCUAGGAGAAGGGAGUGCAGUUGAUGAACAAUGCUGCCUUGAUGGUCCACUGGUUAAGAAUCUGCCUGCCAAUGCAGAGGACACGGGUUCGGUCCCUGGUCUGGGAAGAUCCCACAUGCCACUGGGCAUCAAAGCCUCUGCACCACAACUGCUGAGCCUUGCUCUAGAGUCCAUGAGCGUCAACUAUUGAAGCUUUCGAGCUGAAGCCAAUGCCACGGAAAGCCUGCUCACCACAACAAAUGGUAAUCCCCACUCCCUGCAACCAGAGAAAGCCUGCACACAGGGAUGAAGAUCCGCACAGCCAAAAAUAAAUAAAAUUAAAAUUUUAAAAACGGC